GGACAAGGAGGUUAAGGUUAAGGGUAUGUGUCAAUGGAUGGGUGGUUCAUUCUCAUGAUGUUGGAGGUGGUGUCGGGAGCUCUUUGAAUGGGUAAAACAAUUGGUACAAGAUCUCGAACGGUUUCUAGGGAAGCUAUCACGAAAGGAGAACGUGCGGGACAGAUGGGAAGGGGAUCCUAAGGGAAUGUACAGUGGGAAGUUUGUGUAUCAUGCUCUGAUAUCUGACGAUGCCAUGCCACACCAAUAGAUUCACAAAUUGAUAUGGCAGAAAGAAGUGCCUCUGAAGAUUCAAGCCUUUGCUUGGAAAGCUUUGAAGGAC
rnacentral:lncRNA from 1 species